UAACGCGUUAAGUCGACCGCCUGGGGAGUACGGCCGCAAGGUUAAAACUCAAAUGAAUUGACGGGGGCCCGCACAAGCGGUGGAGCAUGUGGUUUAAUUCGAUGCAACGCGAAGAACCUUACCUGGUCUUGACAUCCACGGAAGUUUUCAGAGAUGAGAAUGUGCCUUCGGGAACCGUGAGACAGGUGCUGCAUGGCUGUCGUCAGCUCGUGUUGUGAAAUGUUGGGUUAAGUCCCGCAACGAGCGCAACCCUUAUCCUUUGUUGCCAGCGGUCCGGCCGGGAACUCAAAGGAGACUGCCAGUGAUAAACUGGAGGAAGGUGGGGAUGACGUCAAGUCAUCAUGGCCCUUACGACCAGGGCUACACACGUGCUACAAUGGCGCAUACAAAGAGAAGCGACCUCGCGAGAGCAAGCGGACCUCAUAAAGUGCGUCGUAGUCCGGAUUGGAGUCUGCAACUCGACUCCAUGAAGUCGGAAUCGCUAGUAAUCGUGGAUCAGAAUGCCACGGUGAAUACGUUCCCGGGCCUUGUACACACCGCCCGUCACACCAUGGGAGUGGGUUGCAAAAGAAGUAGGUAGCUUAACCUUCGGGAGGGCGCUUACCACUUUGUGAUUCAUGACUGGGGUGAAGUCGUAACAAGGUAACCGUAGGGGAACCUGCGGUUGGA
rnacentral:rRNA from 1 species